GGGGAUUUAGCUCAGCGGCAUAAGCGCCUGUUUUGCGAGCAGGCAGUCGUGAAUUCAAUCCCUA
rnacentral:tRNA from 1 species